rnacentral:lncRNA from 1 species
AGGCUCCGCGCAGUCUGCGGGCGGGAGGGUGCCAGCGAGGUGGUGAGGGCGGUGGGUGCGGGGACGCAGCAGCCCUGGCCAAGCCCAGAGACCGGAGGACACCCCCCUCCCAGCGCUCUAACACGGGUAACUUCCCGCUGCCCGGAACGGAGUUUCUCCGUUACCCACGGACAUCCAGGAGGCCGUGUGGAGGGCAAGCAGGGUAACCCCCACUCCUAAACCACCUCUAUCCAAGGGGAGCCCGAGGAGCCAGCAGGUCCGGACACUCUGAGGAGGCUCCUCGUGGGGCCUCCCACGCACAGGUGCUGAGCUGGGCCAGCGGGUAUCUCCAGGCAGCCUCUGCUAAUGAGCUCUUAGCAGGUAAACAGCUCUUCCUUGACCCCCUUCAGGAUAUGCAAGAGACAGGACCGACCUGAGCUGGCACGUGGCUGAGAAGCAGAAAUCAUCCAGUCUACAGCCUCUUAAUGUUCUCCCAGCUGGGACCUCUCUGCUCUCUGUGGCCGGGGCCUCAGGACCUCCUGGAAGAGUGGGACAGACCCAGGACAGGGGAGGAGACAGAUUCCAGCUGCCCCCGCAUGCCAGAGCACCAACCGCUCUGUUCCUUACAAGCCUGCCAGGUCCCAGCUCUGCUUCCCUGACCCCAUCUGCAGUCGCAAGCAAGCCCCAGCCCUGGAGGGGCUGCACCCUGCAACCUUCCCACAGCUGUCUCCUUUGGAUCUUUUUGCGGUCUGGGCUUGCUGUUCUCUCGACAGUAGUCAGGAAGCCCUUACCCCAAAAAGUAUCUACGGGAGGCUUGGUCUACAGGGGAGACCCCCAAGGGCUCCAGGUGAGUCACACCAAACUCAAGACUACCAUGUGGAUCCAGGGCGUCUUUGCCAUACCUUAGUAUUGCUGGGUGACCAUGGAUCAAGCCCUAAGCCUUAAGUUGGCAAUCUUCCUAAUGCUGUGACCCUUUAAUACAGUUCCUGAUCUUGUGGUGAUCCCAGCCAUAAUAUUGUUUUGAUGCUACUUUGUAAUUGUAAUUUUCUACCAAUAUGAAUUAUAAUGUAAAUAUCUGAUAUCAGGAUAUAUAUGACCCCCAAGUGAGUCGUGGCCCACAGAUUGAGAACCACUGUCCUAAGACAUUCUGUGCCCCAGUGACCUCAUACCUUUCCUGAUAGACAAUGUUUAGUAGGAGUGGCUUUAGUCAAAGCCAGCGAAGGCCACUUGGGUAGAUGUUGCUGGCUAUCAUGGGCACACCUCUCAGGGCUGUCACUCAAUAUGCCUAGCCCUCCUUCCUGGCAUUGGGUAGACAUGAGAUCCAAGACAGGCCUGGCUAUUGGAAUCCUGGGCAGAGGGACCUGUGACUGGGAACACCACAGUUGAUCCCAGCAGCCGAGUGAAGAUGGUAAGCCUCUGCGGCAGGAUGAGGUGUCUGCCUGCCGUCCCUUAGCCUGAGUCAGUCACCAUGACCCCCUUUCUCCUGUGAGUCACUACUAGUCCUUCAAAUAAAAUCCUUGACUGCUCAAG